rnacentral:rRNA from 1 species
UGGGGAAUAUUGGACAAUGGAGGAAACUCUGAUCCAGCAAUUCUGUGUGUGUGAAGAAGGUUUUAGGACUGUAAAACACUUUUAGUAGGGAAGAAAAAAAUGACGGUACCUACAGAAGAAGCAACGGCUAAGUACGUGCCAGCAGCCGCGGUAAUACGUAUGUUGCGAGCGUUAUCCGGAAUUAUUGGGCUUAAAGGGCAUCUAGGCGGUAAGACAAGUUGAAGGUGAAAACCUGUGGCUCAACCAUAGGCUUGCCUACAAAACUGUUGAACUAGAGUACUGGAAAGGUGGGUGGAACUACACGAGUAGAGGUGAAAUUCGUAGAUAUGUGUAGGAAUGCCGAUGAUGAAGAUAACUCACUGGACAGAAACUGACGCUGAAGUGCGAAAGCUAGGGGAGCAAACAGG